rnacentral:rRNA from 1 species
GCAAGUCGAGCGCCCCCUUCGGGGGGAGCGGCGGACGGGUUAGUAACGCGUGGGAACAUACCCUUCUCUAAGGAAUAGCCACUGGAAACGGUGAGUAAUACCUUAUACGCCCUUUGGGGGAAAGAUUUAUCGGAGAAGGAUUGGCCCGCGUUAGAUUAGAUAGUUGGUGGGGUAAUGGCCUACCAAGUCUACGAUCUAUAGCUGGUUUUAGAGGAUGAUC